UGUUACAUAUCAAGGAAAAUGACUUAAAUAUCAAGCAUCAAACUUAAUCAAAUUCUAUGACAGAUACAUACUGGGAGAAUAUGCCACUGGAAUUGUGGCUUCAGUACUGUGCCCUCUGUCUGUGAUCUAGUGCUGAAAGGAGGAGACAGGAUGUGAGUGAAGUGGUGAAUGAUGAGCAUGCUUGUUGGAGUGUUUAUGGAAGACGCUGAGCUUUCAUCUCUGCUAUGCUCAAAGGCACAAGAUUAUCCAAAGACUGCUAGCAGCACAAAACCUAUUUGUUCCUAGAGGAGAGAGGCUCUCUUGUGCGUACAGAAGAGUCUAAUGUAAGGUGUGACUGAAUGUGUGAGUGUGGGUGUGCAUGGUGCCCUAAGAUGGACUGGCAUCCCAUCCAGCGUGUAUUGCUGCCUCAUGCCCAUUGGUCCCGGGAUAGGCUAUGGCUUCUCCAUGAAACUGACCAGGAUAAAAUGUUUACUGAAAAUUAUGACUGUGAUUCUUUGAAUAAGCACCAAUAAAGCAACUCGGCACUUAUGUUCAACCACCUCAGCCCCUCGUGUUUUACAUGGAGCAAAAGCAAGACCAAAAUGCAUAGGAAGUACACAGACAGCUGUUUAAACGUUUCCCUGCAUGGAGAGGCGUUUGGAUCAUUUUUCAGAAGCGAUAAAACCCGGUGGGUCAGCAUCUGAAGAAAACCUGGUUUUGCCUUACAGAUGUAUGUGUGUGGCCAUCUGUGCUGAUGUCUGAGAGUGGGAGUACACAGAAGUAUAGCAUAUGGAAGCACCAAAGACUGAAAAGUAACUAUGGGAAAACACAUGACAGGCUUUUUAGUUUUUGCCAAGCUGUCAAUCUGUAAUGGAGUUCACAAUUAUUUAAAGUUAUUUUAUUAUUCUUCAGUGAUACAAGUUAAGACUGCUUCUUAUUUACUGAAAGUAGGGACAAACAAUGCAACAAUGCAUAGAGCACUAUAGUAAUUGAUUUGUAUUUUAUUGUAUUUUAUUUUUUUAUCAGAUGUUAGUUGUUAAGUGGUUAUGGAUUGUAGGAGCUAUGCACAAGACUGUUUCUUUAAUCCCAUGCCAGUCUAUUCCCAUAGAAACUCUGACUACACCGUAGUGCAUAUUCUUGACCACUCUUGUGCACUCCUGCUGUUAUUUCUGUUUGUACAUGCCUGCAAUAUUUUUGAACUCAGUUGGUCUCCCAAAUAUAAACAGAUCUGUAGUUUAAAUAUUAAAAUUGAAGGAACUGAAGAAACAGCUUUCUCUCUGGCUGUUACAAUCAGAACUGAGAAUAUUAUAAAUCUAAUUUUCUAAGAUAUUGUAUUAUUAUAGGUCUAGAUUCAUAAUAUAUAUUCUCAGUAUAUAACUUUGUGGCCAUAUUGUUCAUUUUGAGAGUUUAGAGAUGUAUUCUCAUUAUAAAAAGACCUAAACCUAACAAACCCUAUGCCAUU